rnacentral:sRNA from 1 species
GGAAGUGCCUGUGAAUCCCUGAGCUAUGCAUUAAUGGAUUGAUUUUGUUCAGCAGCGUGGAUUUUGUACAACCAAGUAUUAAUGGGGUCUCUCCUGCCUCCAGUGCCUUACUUGUCAAGGAAAAAUUGAAGAAGACCAGAACCUGCUGCGAAGCCAGCUGGCGAUUUAAUUUCACCUAAUUUUUCUACCUCUAGGGAAAUUGCCAAAUUAAUGAGAAACCAGACCUCUUAGCCAUUCUCUGAUGCAGAGGGAGACUCGUUGUUCUGGGGAUGUGGGACACAGCCACUGUGUCCUCUGAUGCAGGGCCACCUGGGUGUGCUAGGGUGGCCGUAACCAUCCUGUCCGCAGCUGGGGACACAGGAUCCAGGACACAGGAUGGAAAAUUGAACUGCAUGAGCAAGUUUGUCCUCAGAUUUCCCUCUGGAAACUUCCACAGCCUUCCAUGGCUGCUUCUAUUAAGGAACAGACACGGCUUUUUCUUGACUCCUGGUGACCCCAGGCAUCUGGGGAUGUGGAUAAACAACCCGUUACUUUUUGCAAGCUUAAACACAGGACCAGCAGGACCAGCAGAGCAACCCGCAGCCUUGAGCAUUACACAGUCUUACAACUUUUAUGGAUUCUGCCACCACAACAUUCUGGCAAUGAAAAUACUUUAAGAAAAACCCUGCUACAUCUUCUCUCUCUGAUUUGAGGAAUGGUAGCAAAAAGAUUCGUAUGUAUAUAUGAAUGAUCAAGGAAGCAGAUGUGGCUGUCCUUACUGGGAUCUUCACCCCAAUAUUCACACACGAGCUCUGUUUCCUGUCCUAUCAUCUGAACACAGGACAAGUGCUUGACCAGGAUCUGCUGGUAUUCAUGACAACAAAUAAGGGUGAGUGCCCUACAGAUUUCUCUCAUCCAACAAGGUCUCUCUUCUGGCUUUGAAAAGGUAACCCCUUGGCUGCAGUGCUCAUUCUGGGCAUAC